AGUGAACGCUGGCGGUAGGCCUAACACAUGCAAGUCGAACGGCAGCACAGUAAGAGCUUGCUCUUACGGGUGGCGAGUGGCGGACGGGUGAGGAAUACAUCUGAAUCUACUUUUUCGUGGGGGAUAACGUAGGGAAACUUACGCUAAUACCGCAUACGACCUACGGGUGAAAGCAGGGGAUCUUCGGACCUUGCGCGAUUGAAUGAGCCGAUGUCGGAUUAGCUAGUUGGCGGGGUAAAGGCCCACCAAGGCGACGAUCCGUAGCUGGUCUGAGAGGAUGAUCAGCCACACUGGAACUGAGACACGGUCCAGACUCCUACGGGAGGCAGCAGUGGGGAAUAUUGGACAAUGGGCGCAAGCCUGAUCCAGCCAUACCGCGUGGGUGAAGAAGGCCUUCGGGUUGUAAAGCCCUUUUGUUGGGAAAGAAAAGCAGCGGGUUAAUACCCCGCUGUUCUGACGGUACCCAAAGAAUAAGCACCGGCUAACUUCGUG
rnacentral:rRNA from 1 species